ACUUUUCGGAUAAGAACAGGCGCUAAAACGGCGAGAAGGCUAAGAGGGAAGCCGGUGCGUGCUCUUAUUCGGAGUGCAAGGCCGGCGCUGCCCCCGCAACUGUAUGCGGCGAGCUGUUGUCGUUUCAUCACGCCACUGAUCUUUCGUGGAUCGGGAAGGCCGGACAGCAGUGAUGACCCGUGAGCCAGGAGACCUGCCCCGAUAAGGGACGCGGA
rnacentral:ncRNA from 1 species